CAUUCCGGAUAGAGAGUUUAGCAGAGGGGUGUAAUGGCGUAGAUAAGCCCAGCGGGCCGGGCCGGGCCGAGCCAAGCCGAAACUGGAGGAAAGCCCGGUUCCCCACAACCAGCACAAACACACGGGAGCCUGCGGACGAGUCUUGAGAUCACGCCGUCGAAGGAGAAGAGGGCGGCGGGUCCACGACCUGUCGCACGUCGUGUACUGCAAACGGAACCGUUCCACCAUGCUUUGGCACAAGACCACAAUGGGACCAUUACCUGGUGUGCUCCACUUCACUCCUGGCUAGAGCUUCACGUCGGUCCAGGAGUCAUGGGGGUCGGCAUCAGCGGUGAAGUCCGGAAGUCCGUUUCUUGGCCGUUCAUCCACGGCUCUCAUGGGAAGGAUCACACAAUCCACUUCGAAUACGUUUUUAGGCGAAAUGUGAAGCAUCCGUCAUUUUCACGCCUCCGUUUGUAGUACAGAACUUGUAUAUUUGAAUUUUACCCCAUUAUCGCUCUUCGUGUCCAGUCAGUUAAAUUUGCGCACAUUUCACAUUGAGAAUCUGCAGCUCGUAGCCCUGAAGUUAGACGUCAGUUUGUGUGAAAGAAAUUACUUUUCUUUACAUGCAGAAACACUAAAAUGCAGCUUUUUCUGGAGUGUUUUAAAGUCAACAGCUUUUCUAAGUAUGCGUUCGUCUGCUCUUGUGGAUUCUCCCUGAAGCUAUAGGCUCUGUGUUUUAGUGCUCAAACUUCCCUCCGUCUUUCACUGUUAACCUGUAUAAAGUUUUAGAGCUGUAGCCCACGUUGUGGAAUUAAUUCUUGAGCUUAUCCGAACUAUUUCGUGUAGACAGUUCAGUCAGAAAUGCUGAUGCUGCUCAAGAUGAAUGAAAGCGAACACCUGCUAGCCAUGUUGAGCAUGUUUGGCAUAGCUGUUCCUUAGCUACACACUCGGUUCUACCUACACAAGAUGGUUCUUCAAGGGCUCAAUAAAGACAUCCAUCCAUCCAUCCUCAACCGCUUAUCCGAGUCCGGGUCACGGGGGCAGCAGCCUAAGCAAAGGGGCCCAGGCCUCCCUCUCCCCCGCCAGCUUCUCCAGCUCUUCCAGAGGGAUACAGAGGCGUUCCCAAGACAGUUGAGAGAUGUAAUCCCUCCAGCGUGUCCUGGGUCUUCCCUGGGGUCUCCUCCCCAUCGGACAUGCCUGGAACGCCUCCCUAUUGAAGCGUCCAGAGGCCGUCUUACCAAAUGCCCAAACCACCUCAACUGGCUUCUCUGAACGUGGAGGAGCAGCGGCUCCACUCCGAGCCUCUCCCGAAUCGCCGAUCUUCUCACCCUAUCUUUAAGGGAGAGCCCGGCGAUCCUGUGGAGAAAGCUCAUUUUAGCCGCUUGUAUCCGUGAUCUCGUCCUUUCGGUCACUACCCAAAGCUCGUGACCAUAGGUGAGAGUCGCAACGUAGAUUGACCAGUAAAUUGACAGCUUCGCCUUCUGGCUCAGCUCUCUUCACCAUGACGGUCCGCGUUACUGCAGAUGCCGCACCAAUCUGCCUGUCAACCUCUCACUCCACCCUUCCUUCACUCGUGAACAAAAUCCCAAGAUAUUUAAACUCCACUUGGGGCAAGAAUUCACUCCUCAUUAAAGACAACGGUUCUAUUUAGAAUCAUGUGUUCUACGUAGAGCUGCUUGCCUGCUUGAAUGGAUCUUUGCAUGGUCAAAUGGUUCUUUAGAUGGACUGAGAAUGUGUUGUAUGUGGUUCUGUAUAGCAGCAAAAAGGGUUCUGCUGCUGUUAUGAUGUAAAGCUUGUAACAACAGAAGAGCUCUUUUGGUGCCAUAGGGAACCAUUUUAAAAAAGAUUCCAUAUAUAAUCAUGUUCCCUCACUCACCAUGCGGAGAACCAUUAAAGCAUGCCAGUAAUUCUGUAUAGAGCUCUAAAGAGUUCAAAAUAAGACUGCUUUCACUUAAGAACCCUUGAAGAACCAUCUUUUUAAGUGUGUAGCGUGAUAUUUAGCUUUAGCCACCCAUUUCUUUUAGUAUAUUUUCAUGGCAGAGGAAACUGAAUGAUUUAUCAAGUGACACAAGAAAAGCCAAAUAGCUUUAUUUUAUAUGUCUGUACAUUGACUAUGCUAAUAUCUUCAGCUGCCCGCAAUGUAGCAUUCUUAGUAGAGUUAUGUUGAUGGUUUGAAAGGAGGUGAAAAUCCAGGAAAAAAAAGUAUAGCAUAGGAAAAGUGGACGCUGGUGAAGCCGGUGGUAUUUUUUACUUUGCGUGGACAUGCUGGUGUUGGUUUUAGUAAUAAUCAUAGGAGCUUUCGGAAGGACUGUGUUUAGUGAGUGUAACAGCCGUCAUCCAUGUGUUUACGUUCUUGUUUUUCAUGAGACUUCCACUGGGAUUAGUAUAGGAGUUGAUUUCUGUCUCAUUAUCCGAUGCAUGUUGGAGAUCAUAGUAACGGCGUAUAGCUGGGGUGCGAACCUCCGGUCCUGGAGCGCGGUUCGGAGCGGUUUCCCCGCUCAAAACAGCCACUAAACUUGGCAAUUAAGAGACCAGUGUAUUCAGGUGUGUUUGAGCAGGAAUGCCGUACACAGGACCGGAGAUAUGUACCCCUGGCGUAUAGUAUAUAUUGACAGUACCAGUCACACUAGUGCUAUACGAGGAUGGAGAAGUUCUGCAAGGCACUCGUAAAUUUCCCAGUUGGACUCUUAACCUGUUCCUUAUUCAUUCCCUUGUGCUCUCAUGUGCCUGCCAAGCUCCACCCGAAAUAUUUAGUACCACAAAAACCAGAGAGUUGUGCGCCCCAGUUUGAACCCGAUCCUGGAUACGACAUCCAGGGACAUGGGAUAUGUGCAAUACGCGUGCCCUUCCCUUUUUUUUUUGUCCUGUUUUGAGAUAAAUGUGUAUAUUGUACAAACAAGUGACGAGUUGUUCGUGAAAAAAACAACAAAAUCACCAAUGUCUUCCAUUAAAUGAUGUAUAGAUUCAUCCGCUUACUUUGCUGUAGCGGGAUUUGUCGUGCCAACGUUAUGUGUGGCCAUGCAUGACUGGACAUGAUGCUUGCAGAAUAAAGUAGUUGUAGUAAAAAAUACAGUAUAUAUAACUGUACUGAUUAUUAGCGACAUAGUUAACCAGAUAUGGAUAGUUACUGCCGUGGAUGGAGCUUCCUUUCCUUGCAUAGGAGCUUCGGAUAGCUUUUUGGGCGAAUCACAAAAACUAAGAGAGGCCUGGAGGAAGACCAUUCGUUUUGUUCGUCACAUGUUCUUUGAUUACUCAUUUCACCCCAGACAUCAUCAUCAUCAUCAUCGUCGUCGUCCGGCUAAAGAAGCAGCCGUUGGUUUUCCUAGCGUGAACAUAGCGAAUGCAUGAUAUAAACGUCGUAAUUCUGCUAGUUUGUGUUAACGUGAGGGGUUUUUGUGUCAAAAGGCUAACCAGCAUCUCCCACCCUAAUCGGACCCUCACCCCUCCAAUGCAGAGUCGAAGUCAGUGAAGGACAAACUCAAGGUUUUUUUACAUCUUGAGUGAUUUUUAUGAUCAGAUAAGUAGGUGCUUCAUGGUUGUAUCAGCAGCAUGCGAAUUCGCGGAUGUGGUAAUUUGGUCCCAUUGUGAAAGUACUAAACGCAAAUGUGGAGAAUAGGAACCGAAUAAAGAACUCUCUGUGAUUUAGUGUCGUCUCGCAAACCGUUGCGGACGCCUCUGAGCUGUAGGAGGGCGGUUACUUGGUUCGCUUCACGGUAGCACAAAUUCUGGUGUACAUUUCGGGGGGGAAACAUGCCCUAACAAUCAAAAUAUUGUAAUGUAGAUAAAUACCUCAGUGACUGGAAUGCAAAAUAUAUAUUUUUAGAUUACACUUACAUAUAUGCAAGCCAUAAUACAUCUUACAUUAGCUAUUUAGAAGCAAUAACCUUAUUAUAUGCAUGAAUUCUAGUGCCAGAAUGGUGUUUUUGUGGAAUGGAAAACUGUAGCAUAGCUGUGGUGAGUGUUAAGGCCUAUUACAUGGCCCAACUGUUAAUGUCCACUGGUAGAACAUAUAGAAAUAUCCCACAACAAUAGGCCAGUCUUUAGCAGCUGAUCAAACGACUUUCAUCGAUCACUAAAACCAAAAAAAAACAUUUGUGAAUGUAGUACCUAAACUUUGCAUAUUGGACGGAAAAUAAUGUGGCGAGAGAACAUAGUUAAUGUUAAACUAUAUGCACUGCAUGUUUUAUGUUGUUAAAAAACGGCACAGCGGCAGAAACCGUAAUCAUAACGCACACAAACUGUAUAUGCAGUCAGUUAACUGAAAGCAAUAGGAGCAGUGUGUUGGCUAGCUGUUGACGACACUCAAACUGUAUCUUGGUAGGUAGGUUCUUUCUGAUACCACAGCAAACUUAAGUGGACAUCAUUGUGCAAUGGUAAUCGUAAGCCUAGUAUUAAUCGGUGUUUUUAUAUCGGAAUGCAGGAAUAAAAAUAGCUGCUGCAUGGUAGAAGUGGGUAAGAAAUGUGUUGUGCUGCAUGCAGUAAUUAAGCUUUGCUUGAGGAAAAAAAAAAA